rnacentral:rRNA from 1 species
ACUGAGAGUUUGAUCCUGGCUCAGGAUGAACGCUGGCGGCAUGUCUAAGGCAUGCAAGUCGAAGGGUUGUAGCAAUACAGCCCUGGCAGACGGGUGCGUAACACAUUGGUAAUUCACCUCUAUCUCGGGCAUAACCCGGAGAAAUCUGGGACAAUUCCCGAUGGUCAUGCGGGGUCGCAAGACAUUCGCAUGUAAAGAUUUAUCGGAUGGAGAGAAGCCUAUGGCCCAUCAGCUUGUUGGCGGGGUAAUGGCCCACCAAGGCGAUGACGGGUAGCGGGUGUGAGAGCACGACCCGCCUCACUGGGACUGAGACACUGCCCAGACUCCUACGGGAGGCUGC